rnacentral:rRNA from 1 species
UAUAUUUUAUAUUAUUUUAUUGUAUAUUCAGUUUAUUUUAGUUUAAAUUAAAUUUAUUUUUUAUUUGAAAAAUUAUUGAAUUAUUAAGUUAAUUUUGUUUUUAGUACCUUUUGUAUCAGGGUAAAUUAAUUAGUUUCAUUAUUUGAAUUCCCGAAAUUAAAAAAUCUAUUUUAGUUAAUUUUAUUUGUUUCAAAAAGUUUAUUUAAACUAAAUUUGUAAUUAAAAGUUAUUCGAUUUUAAUUUAUAUCUGGUUUCUUUAGACUGAAUAAAAUUCUUAAUUAUUUUAUUUGUUAAUUUUUUAAUUUUAAUUAAAUUUCAUGAAGGAUAAUCUUCUUGUUUUUGUAAAAUUUAAUUUUUUUAAUUUAAAUUAUCUUUUAAAUUUUGAACUUAGUUUUUAUUAAAUUUGUUUUUUUAUUUAUUAUUUUUUAAAAUUUACAUUUUUAUAAAGUAUAUUUAAUUAUUUAAAUUUAUUUUUUAUAAUGAUUUAAUUAGUAGGUCUUUUAUUUAUUUAAAUUGAACUCGUCAAUUCUGUUUUCCAGCUGUUUAACAAAAACAUUUCUUUUAGAAAAAUUUUAAAGGUAUAACCUGCUCUAUGAUUAAUUUUUAAAUGGCUGCAGUAUUUUAACUGUACAAAGGUAGCAUAGUAAUUAGUCUUUUAAUUGAGGGCUUGUAUGAAUGGUUGAAUGAGAUAUCUAUUAUAAUUUUAAUUAACUACUUAAUUUAAUUUUUUAGUAAAAAAUCUAAAAUAUUAGUUUGGGACGAAAAGACCCUAUAGAACUUUAUAUUAUUUUUGGUUUUUAGUUUUAUAAUUAUUUAUUUCUAUUUAUUAUAUUUAAUUGGGGUGAUUAAUAAAUUUAAUCUUUAUUUUUUUUUUUCUUUUUAAAAGAUUUUUUGAUUCAUUUUAUGGUUAAAAGUAAAAGUUACCUUAGGGAUAACAGCGUAAUUUAAGUGGGGAGUUCAUAUUUAUACUUAAGUUUGCGACCUCGAUGUUGAAUUAAGAUUAUUUAUGGGGGUAGAUUUUCAUUAUUUAAGUCUGUUCGACUUUUUAAUUCUUACAUGAUUUGAGUUCAAACCGGUGUGAGCCAGGUUGGUUUCUAUCUUAAUUUAUUACAAUUUUCUUAGUACGAAAGGACCAGAAAAU